UGCAUCUUCAGCUCAGCCUGGCCCGGAGAUCACUCGACACAUCUGCGUGUGGCCCAUACAGACAAAUACAGGAAGGCCUCAUAGCUUCCUCCCAGCACGGCAGGAGUGCAUGAUGUGGAGCACAUAGAGAUCAGAGGACAACUUUGUGGAGUCAGCUUUCUCUUCCACCAUGUGGGUCCUGGGGAUUGAGCUAAAGUUCUCAGGCUUGGAAGUAAGUACCUUUAUCACUGAUCCAUCUUUCUGCCUGUCUUAGCUAGGGUUUUAUUACCAAUACCAUAGCAAC
rnacentral:lncRNA from 1 species